UACGUAGGGACCGAGCGUUGUCCGGAAUUAUUGGGCGUAAAGAGCGUGUAGGCGGCUAGAUAGGUCCGUUGUGAAAACUCGAGGCUCAACCUCGAGACGCCGGUGGAAACCAUCAGGCUAGAGUCCGGAAGAGGAGAGUGGAAUUCCUGGUGUAGCGGUGAAAUGCGCAGAUAUCAGGAAGAACACCCGUGGCUAAGGCGGCUCUCUAGUACGGUACUGACGCUGAGACGCGAAAGCGUGGGGAGCGAACAGG
rnacentral:rRNA from 1 species